UACGUAGGGUGCAAGCGUUAAUCGGAAUUACUGGGCGUAAAGCGUGCGCAGGCGGUUAUGUAAGACAGAUGUGAAAUGCCCGGGCUUAACCUGGGAACUGCAUUUGUGACUGCAUGGCUAGAGUUUGGCAGAGGGGGGUAGAAUUCCACGUGUAGCAGUGAAAUGCGUAGAUAUGUGGAGGAACACCGAUGGCGAAGGCAGCCCCCUGGGUCAAGACUGACGCUCAUGCACGAAAGCGUGGGGAGCAAACAGGAUUAG
rnacentral:rRNA from 1 species